GCUGUUUGGGGCAGCAAAAAAGUUAGAGCCAGCCCUGCUUCUAUAGACCCUAAUCCCCCUCAAAUUCCUCACAUCUCCAAUCCUCAAUCUCAAAUGCCACCCUCCAGUCUCCCUCCCCAGACCCUAUUCCCACCCCACUGUCUCACAUCCCCUUCCUGAGCCCCUAAAUCGUCCCCUCCAUCCCCCUGCUCUAAUCCCCUUCCCAAAACUCUCAUCCCACCUUCCGACUGCCCAAUGCCCACAGUCCCCAUUCCCAACCCUAACCCCACCCUCCUUUACCGCAUCCCUAAUCCAAAUUUCCAACCCGCCCACCCCAGUUCACCUCCCUGGACCGUAAACACUCUCUCCAGCACCCUCAUCACCCUCCCCAUCCCCUAAUCCCACCAUUUAUCUUCUCCACCCCAAACCCUACUAUUACUUCCAACUUCCAACCCCCACUGCCCCAGUCCUUUCCCCCAGCCUCCAUUCCCACCCUCCACUGCCACCAUCCCUAAUCCCACACUCCAAUCCCCCACUUCUCAAACCCAAUCCUACCUGCCCACCCCUCCAAUGCCCAACUACAGCCCCCCACUCCAACCCCUUCCCCACAUUGUUACCCAUCCCAUCCCCCCGCAGCACUCCUGACUUGCAGCGUUGCAGGUGUGACUAUGUAAAUGGAAUUUGUGGCUUGCUGCCUGUGGUGCUCCAGGAAAAAGCAAACUGCUGGUCUUGCUAACGAGCCAGCUGUGCCCUGCCCAUCGGAGCACUCUGGGCCUGGAGGCUUUGCACGGCCUAGAGAUAGGAAACAAUCGACUGUAAGCCGCGUGGAUCGGAGAGUUUCGUCGAACGUUGAGGCUUUGAGGAGGUAAUCGUCGAGGUGUCUGGAGACCUAAGGACUGGAGGGUUGCCCUUGAGUCCUUCAUUGAGUGAAGCACGUCGUUCAUGGCAGAAGCAAAAAGUUUUUCACCAUCAAAGGGAAGAUCUUCAAUGGUGCUCUGAACCUCUCGAGGAAAGAAAGAGGAGGAGAGCCAUGAACCUCGGCGUAUGACCACUGCUGUGGCGGUCGAUCUUGCUGCAGUGUUGGCUACAUCAAGGGCCGCUUGAAGAGCGGUAUGUGAUAUGAUUUGUCCCUUGGAAACCAGAGCUGUGAAUUGUUGUUUUUUCUGUUCUGGGAUGUCGUCAAUAAAGUCCAUGAACUUA